rnacentral:rRNA from 1 species
UACAGAGGGUGCAAGCGUUGUUCGGAAUUAUUGGGCGUAAAGGGCGCGUAGGCGGUGCGGUAAGUCUGCGGUGAAAUCUCCCGGCUCAACUGGGAGGCUGCCGUGGAAACUGCCGUGCUUGAGUGUGGGAGAGGUGAGUGGAAUUCCCGAUGUAGCGGUGAAAUGCGUAGAUAUCGGGAGGAACACCUGUGGCGAAAGCGGCUCACUGGACCACAACUGACGCUGAGGCGCGAAAGCUAGGGGAGCAAACAGG